CAUUCAGUGCAAGGUUUCCAUACAACAAGGUGAGCAAUUCCUGCUCUCCUCCUUUCUAUAUUGCCACCUCCCACCAUCUUCUUGGUGCCAGAUUCAACACGGGAGAGCAAUCUCUCUGGGCAUGCCUCACCUUGUGCUAAUGCAUCGUCAGGCAUCGGCUACGACAACGCGAUGACAAUGAUAGUUAGUGCUGAUAACGGGGAGGUGCUCUCGUAGGAAUUGGAUAAGCGAAGCUUCGGUUGCCGGCGACAGUCAGCGGAAAGAGAGCAAGAGAGAGAGAGAGAGCCGUGACAGUAGAGCGACAGGAGAUGAAACCUCAGUGGGGCCUCUGAUAUUUGGCUCGAAUGGAUAAGCCAAUACCCUGUCUACGAUCUCAAAAAUGUUUCUCAAAAAUUAUAGACGCACUGUUUUUUCGUUUAAAAAUUGUGUGGAAUAAAAUGACGCCUUUUAAAACUAGCAAAUCUUAUAGAAAAUUGAUUAAAUAUAGCUCUGAAAAUAGUUGGCACAUAGUACUAUUGUUACGUUUUUAAAGCUCUUAUUUUUUCGGUUUAGGAAAUGGAGAAUUAAUUGACUUUAUAUCAAAGAAAUAUACAUAGGCUCUGUUCUAAGCUAAGACUGACUAUUUCCGGUGGAUUCUGUAGACUAUUGAAAUAUCUGCUCAAAAACAUAAUACCUCCUUGUAAAGGCCAUCAAAUCAGAGCGAGCAAAUAACUAAACGAGGUGCUAAAAGAUCAUCAUUUGUACUUGGUCGGCGAGGCCUUAAAUUGAAUAGACAAGCUACGGAAAGUGCGAAAUAUCGAUCCAGAACCAGAUCGGCCAAGAGAGCGACAGAGAGUUGGCAUGAGAGGACUGGUGCCCAAGGCCCCAGCCACACACACACAUGCUCGUAUUUAAAUUGGGCAACUGAUUCAUUGGGCGGCAUUACCCAAAAUGUUGAUAAGUAUCGCGGUUUAUUAAUUACUAGUCAAGUACAUAUGUAUCUAUUUGGCUUUGAUGUAUCGACA
rnacentral:sRNA from 1 species